GGCUUGGCUGAGGCACUAGCUCUUAGGUGGUUCGUGGUUGGUGGGAGAGAGAAUAUAUGCGCAAAGGGAGCGUGGCAAGAGAGGACGAGGGCAGUGGCGGGCAGCGUCCCUGCCGAGUAGAACCAAGGCAGCGCCCCUAGCACUCACCACCUGCUAAGCGGAGAGGUUUAUGUACAGAUAGGGAAUUCGCUUCCCUAAAACACAGGAAGGCGAACACUGCCGACUUAGCCAACUACGCAGUCUAGGCAGUCAAAUACAGUAGACGAAGGACAAGCGUACGGCGACACCUACAAACAGAGGCACCUUGCGGUGGGGACGACCAAGUAGAAGUGACCAAAUACUACGGGUGCCGGUUGCGGUUGACUAUAGAAGAGGCUGCUGCCAACCACCAAUUCGACUUCUUACGAAAGAACUCAGAAAGAGCAUUCCGCGGUCUUCCUUUGCCCGGUAGGUUAUAUACCAAAGACAAACGGCUAGUUUACUACAUGCACAAGGGAAGACGAGUGUUCUACUAAGACCGGACAGAGGUUUGUAGUGUCUUUCCAUUAACACAACCAUUCGACUACUACGCGUACGCUCCUGCACGCAUAACAUGUUGAACUACAUGGUUAUGUAACCAUCCCAUCCUGCCGGAAACGGUACAGCCCACGCGAGCGAACCGUCCGGUGUUCUGUUAUUUUUCAUAUAAACCACCACAAACGCCCCACCUCUAGCGUGCCCUUGUUAGAUAAACAAGAUAAAACGGGCCCAAGAGGUGGGACGGUACCACAGAGACAGGAAGAGGACACAACAACUAAGGUGGCGUAGUAGACUUCAUGUGGCGCUAGGAUGUAUCGAUUAUACACUUGUCCGGACCCGCGUCGCCAUUGAUGCAACACUCCUAGUUAAAUUGAUGCGUGCUUCCAUGUAGAUUGAUGAAGAAAGUCGCAAUAUAGUUAAAUUUAAAAUUCACUGGGUCUUUGCAAUCACGAAAAGACUUCCCAGUUAGACUUGACUGGAGUUUCAACAGCUAGUUUUUUAAGAACACGUGAAGUAGAGUUGAUUUACUCAAU
rnacentral:rRNA from 1 species